AUUGAACGCUGGCGGCAGGCCUAACACAUGCAAGUCGAACGGUAGCACAGAGAGCUUGCUCUCGGGUGACGAGUGGCGGACGGGUGAGUAAUGUCUGGGAAACUGCCUGAUGGAGGGGGAUAACUACUGGAAACGGUAGCUAAUACCGCAUAACGUCGCAAGACCAAAGAGGGGGACCUUCGGGCCUCUUGCCAUCAGAUGUGCCCAGAUGGGAUUAGCUAGUAGGUGGGGUAACGGCUCACCUAGGCGACGAUCCCUAGCUGGUCUGAGAGGAUGACCAGCCACACUGGAACUGAGACACGGUCCAGACUCCUACGGGAGGCAGCAGUGGGGAAUAUUGCACAAUGGGCGCAAGCCUGAUGCAGCCAUGCCGCGUGUAUGAAGAAGGCCUUCGGGUUGUAAAGUACUUUCAGCGGGGAGGAAGGUGUUGUGGUUAAUAACCGCAGCAAUUGACGUACCCGCAGAAGAGC
rnacentral:rRNA from 1 species